CACACGGCGAGCUAGGGAUCCGUCAUGUCGUCCUGUGGGAAGUCUGUAUGGUGCAAGUCAACAAUGUUAAUAUGCGGAAAUAAAAUGUUACCUGUUCAGUUCGGACGGCCUGUAGCCUCACAGUCCUGCUGUCAGAACAAACGCAGCUGAAGUUGGACAAGACCGAAAGCAAAACAACGGCUGGCUCUGGAAGUGGGGGCUCGAGCUGGAAAUCCCCCUCCUCUCUCGCACUGGGUGACUCGCGCGAGCAGGAGCAGCGUCGCUGAAGUCUCUUGGCGCAGCGUGCGCGCUCCCCAAAAAACCUGAACGAAGAGUGCUCACUCUGCUCUUAUUUCUUGGUACCACAAAAGUCAACAUUAACCUCUUCUCAUGCUUUAUUUAUUUAUAUUAUUUAGAACAUGUACUAUAAAUGCACCAGUGUUAGCAAUGAGGUUGUUUUUCAGAUUUUACAUUGUCACCCUAAAAGUAACAUUAGGCCUAUUAGAAUUAGUCAAAUUAAAGGACGCAGGCCUGCGUCCUGAAUAUAUUAUAGAAUUACAACAAUAUAUAACCCUCAAUACUCAUUUAUGCAAUUGAAAUGAAGUGCAUAUGUAGUUCAAUAUUUUAGUUAUUGUUUCUGUUUUGUUAUUGCAUUUCCUAUAUACCUCGUUGAGUAUCUAUACAACUUUUGCUUUGUGACCUGGCUGCUGUAACAACACAAAAUCAGUUUGGUUUCACUUACUAUUUCUCCUGUCCACACCACUGGUUAUAAGGUU